rnacentral:rRNA from 1 species
UACGAAGGGGGCUAGCGUUGCUCGGAAUCACUGGGCGUAAAGGGUGCGUAGGCGGGUUUUUAAGUCAGGUGUGAAAUCCUGGAGCUCAACUCCAGAACUGCCUUUGAUACUGAAGAUCUUGAGUCCGGGAGAGGUGAGUGGAACUGCGAGUGUAGAGGUGAAAUUCGUAGAUAUUCGCAAGAACACCAGUGGCGAAGGCGGCUCACUGGACACGUAUUGACGCUGAGGUGCGAAAGCGUGGGGAGCAAACAGG